CCUACGGGAGACAGCAGUGAGGAAUAUUGGUCAAUGGGAGAGAUCCUGAACCAGCCAAGCCGCGUGAGGGAAGACGGCCCUAUGGGUUGUAAACCUCUUUUGUCGGGGAACAAAACCCGGGACGUGUCCCGGACUGCGUGUAUCCGAAGAAAAAGCAUCGGCUAACUCCGUGCCAGCAGCCGCGGUAAUACGGAGGAUGCGAGCGUUAUCCGGAUUUAUUGGGUUUAAAGGGUGCGUAGGCGGUCCGUUAAGUCAGCGGUAAAAGUGCGGGGCUCAACCCCGUCGAGCCGUUGAAACUGGCAGACUUGAGUUGGCGAGAAGUACGCGGAAUGCGCGGUGUAGCGGUGAAAUGCAUAGAUAUCGCGCAGAACUCCGAUUGCGAAGGCAGCGUACCGGCGCCAGACUGACGCUGAGGCACGAAAGCGUGGGGAUCGAACAGGAUUAGAUACCCCAGUAGUC
rnacentral:rRNA from 1 species